rnacentral:lncRNA from 1 species
CCAAGAAAAAUAAAAGGAUUCAACAAUAUCCAAUUACGGCCGGGGAAGGGAGAGUGAAUUGACUUUGCAAGUGUACAUGACCGGCCAAAGCGGCAACAUAUCGGGGGGAAGAAAAAAAAUGAAAAGGACGAGGCAUGAUUUGUUAUUUACUUUAAUAAUGUCACUUCUCCCUUGAUAUGAUCGACUAAAAGAAUUGAUUUGAUGAUUUUAUAACAAUACAAGGUAUUUUAAAUUUUAGGGCACGUUUGAUUCGUGAUUGAAAUCAGAACCAAAAAUGUUAGAAUGAGAAUCGAAAGAUCUAUAUCCUCUGACAUGUUUGAU